UACGUAGGGUGCGAGCGUUAAUCGGAAUUACUGGGCGUAAAGCGUGCGCAGGCGGUUUUGUAAGCCAGAUGUGAAAUCCCCGGGCUUAACCUGGGAAUGGCAUUUGGGACUGCAAGGCUCGAGUGCGGGAGAGGAGACUGGAAUUCCUGGUGUAGCGGUGGAAUGCGCAGAUAUCAGGAGGAACACCGAUGGCGAAGGCAGGUCUCUGGGCCGCAACUGACGCUGAGGAGCGAAAGCAUGGGGAGCAAACAGG
rnacentral:rRNA from 1 species